UAGGGGAAUCAUGGUCAAUGGGCGAAAGCCUGAACCUGCGACGCCGCGUGAGUGAUGAAGGUCGUAAGAUCGUAAAACUCUUUUCAGGGAUCUUAAAGCCUGUCUGUCAACAACAGGCAGGUCUGACUCUCCCUGGAAGAAGCCCCAGCCAACUACGUGCCAGCAGCUGCGGUAAUACGUAGGGGGCGAGCGUUAUUCGGAAUUACUGGGUGUAAAGGGUAUGUAGGCGGUUUUUUAAGUCAGAUGUGAAAGGUACCGGCUCAACCGGUGACAUGCAUUUGAAACUGAAAGACUUGAGUAUUGGAGAGGCAAGUGGAAUUCCUAGUGUAGCGGUGAAAUCCUAUAAUCCUGGGAGGACCACCUGUGGCGAAGGCGUCCAGCUGGAACGGACCUGACGGUGAGUAACGAAAGCCAGGGGCGCGAACC
rnacentral:rRNA from 1 species